UACAGAGGUCUCAAGCGUUGUUCGGAAUCACUGGGCGUAAAGGGUGCGUAGGUGGCGAGGCAAGUCAGAUGUGAAAUCCCGGGGCUCAACCCCGGAACUGCAUUUGAAACUGCCUUGCUCGAGUACUGGAGAGGAGACUGGAAUUUACGGUGUAGCAGUGAAAUGCGUAGAUAUCGUAAGGAAGACCAGUGGCGAAGGCGAGUCUCUGGACAGUUACUGACACUGAGGCACGAAGGCCAGGGGAGCAAACGGG
rnacentral:rRNA from 1 species